AUUGAACGCUGGCGGCAGGCUUAACACAUGCAAGUCGAGCGGAGACUUCGGUCUUAGCGGCGAACGGGUGAGUAAUACCUAGGAAUCUGCCUAUUAGUGGGGGAUAACGAAUCGAAAGGUUCGCUAAUACCGCAUACGUCCUACGGGAGAAAGGGGGGAGUCUUCGGACCUCUCGCUAAUAGAUGAGCCUAGGCCGGAUUAGCUAGUUGGUAGGGUAAAGGCCUACCAAGGCGACGAUCUGUAGCUGGUCUGAGAGGAUGGCCAGCCACACUGGAACUGAGACACGGUCCAGACUCCUACGGGAGGCAGCAGUGGGGGAAUAUUGGACAAUGGGGGCGAACCCUCGAUCCAGCCAUGCCGCGUGUGUGAAGAAGGCCUCGGUUGGUAAGUAC
rnacentral:rRNA from 1 species